rnacentral:rRNA from 1 species
AGUGAACGCUGGCGGUAGGCCUAACACAUGCAAGUCGAACGGCAGCACAGUAAGAGCUUGCUCUUACGGGUGGCGAGUGGCGGACGUGAGAGGAAUACAUCGGAAUCUACUUUUUCGUGGGGGUUCAGGUAGGGAAACUUACGCUAAUACCGCAUACGACCUACGGGUGAAAGCAGGGGAUCUUCGGACCUUGCGCGAUUGAAUGAGCCGAUGUCGGAUUAGCUAGUUGGGGGGGUAAAGGCCCACCAAGGCGGCGAUCCGUAGCUGGUCUGAGAGGAUGGUCGGCCACACUGGAAGUGGGACAACGUCCAGACGCCUGCGGGACGCAGCAGUGGGGAAUGUUGGACAAUGGGCGCAAGCCUGAUCCAGCCAUACCGCGUGGGUGAAGAAGGCCUUCGGGUUGUAAAGCCCUUUUGUUGGGAAAGAAAAGCAGCAGGUUAAUACCCCGCUGUUCUGACGGUACCCAAAGAAUAAGCACCGGCUAACUUCGUG